CACGCGGCCGGACGGAGCGCCGCGCUGCUGGCGGUGUGACGGCUCGCUGCUCGUUCUUUUUGGCGGUACUAGCUAUGGUAGAAGCAAUGCGAAACGGAUGGAAGCGCCCGGCAGCUGUCUGCGAGCUUCCGACAUUAGGGUAUGACCGAGUGCCGUCUCGCUGGAAACCAAAUACAGGCACUGCAAGGCAAGCAGCCCCGCGCUGCACUGCGUGCGGGAAAGUCAGUAACCCAGUACUUCGGUUUUUGUCAUUUGAUAUCCAAGAAUGUAUUCCCCAUAUUACAGCCUCCGCACUGCUCGGUUGCGGUAAUAUCUUUCCUUUUAACACGAUGUCAAAGACAUUUCAAAAUAAAGUGUAUUAGCUUGUUUCUGGUCAUUAAUUCCCUGUGCUUUGUCAACUGACAGCCGCUAACGCUACAUGUUGGACCGUACCUCUUCUCUGUUGCAUUCAGAAACCUUUCUGUGAGCCCACCACGAACGCUGGUGGCGUGCAGCCUACAGUCACACUGCAAUCCGGCUGUCUGUUCUUUCACCUCACAAAGAAAUGAAAGGGAAAUCUGGUGACACACAGAAAGCACCGCUUCAGAGCAGCCCCUCCUGUCCCGCCGGACUGAGUGAAUGCAUACUCAGAACAAGAAGUCGUUCUACAAUACCGUGUAUGGAUUACCAGUUCUUCCUAUUCAAAUGAAUAAAAGAAGAUGCAACUUAUCAUUGUUGUGUCAUCAUUCUGAAAAAUGAAAAAUUAAAUAGUUGCUCAACAUAUUAAAACUCUCAAGUUCAAAACUGUUCAAAAAAAAAGGCAAAUUCAGCUACCUGGGAAAUGCCCUCCUAUGCCGAUGUCAAGAUAAUUGCCAAGUGUGGGAUACUCACACUGCAUGAACAGGAAUGCACAGCAGUCAGUUCCUGCCUAGCAGUAGAAGAGACCCUGAUGUAAAAGCCAAAAAUGUGUUCUGGAAAUACUAUGGAUUUUUAAUGAGGAUUAAGCAUCGUGGCAGUUGAACCACAAAAGAUGUAAGGAAACUGCCUAACCACAGCCACAUAGAUCAUAAUGAUUUAUGUAGGCACGAGUUGCAAUACUGUUUCCCUCACUUUAAAAAGAUUUCUCAUUUGCCAAACUCUGUGCAUUCUUCAUCAAAUGCGUAGGUUAUAAGACAGAGAAAUCAUCAACUUGAAACAACUUCAGCAGAACUGGAAAAAUGUUAUGACUUCAUAGGAACAAUCCCCAAUCAAUUCAGAAUCAGCCAGGUUAGUUAGAAGAUUUUUUGAACUGCAGAAAUAGCACAGGCACUACAGCAUAUAUGUGCUUGAAAUCAACGACAAAGCACUACUGCUACUAAAAAGCACACAGCUGGCUCCAUGUGGGAAACCAAGUGACAGGGACUUAAAAUAAAACUUCGAAGUUUUUCAGUCAUUUCAUUGCAAACUUUACAGGUUCUGGGCCAUGAUCACAAUUUAGAAGACAGAGCCGUUAGCUUGAAAAAGAAUACAGGGGAGAGCCAGGAAUAAUACUGAAGGAAAGCUGGAGAGAAUCAGUGAAGCACGCAAGGUCAUGAUAAACCUCCAGAAGAGGAUUCAACUAUCAGAGUCUGCCUGUCGCUGGAUAAACUCGAGCAGAAUCUCUGUCAAGUGGUGGAAGUGACCAAAGGGUAAAACUGGCAUUUACCAACACAAUUAGUCCAGACAAGUUCCAUUGACUUCUACUCAAAACUUCAGUUUGAUUGAGUAAGAACUGGCAACAUUGAGUGAUGCUACCAGAAGAAAUGCAGUGUUUUUAAAGACAGCAAACUAAAAUUUGGUACAAAGCAAAAUGCACACUGAUGCCAAUUUCCAUCAACAAGAGUUCUAUUAAUUAUGGAGAGGAAAGCCAAGAAAUAUCAGUGGAAAAAAUACAUUUAAAUUCCUUGAAACAGAAGCAGGCCCAAUUUUGGAAUACCUAUAUGUUAUCUAUGCUGUGAAGUAAUUUCUUACUUCAUUAAUGUUUUAGACAAAAAUAUUGAAAUAUCUACGGAAUUUUUAAACACAAUAACUUACUAAUGUUUCUUUGCAUGCUAGUAAAAGAUAUGUAGUCUCAAGUGAUGUAAAUCAAUUAUCUCUGUAUGUGUGAAAUGCUGUAACAAGAUCAAUGAGACCUGAACACAAGGAGGCAUCUUAGGAUAACAGCUGCAGAUGCAUGCACUCUCUGGGAAGAAAACAAACAAAUGAAUAUACACUGCUCAUCUCUAUGUUUUGCCCUCCCACAUAAAAAAUCCCUGUCAUUAUCCUUUCCAGUUGUUAAGUGCAUAAAAAAAACAAAUGAAGUCAGGUAGCAGUCCAUAUAUCAGUACAGGCAAAGUACAAUAAAUGGUCACUCUUACAGCAAAGAUAAAAUGGAUGCUUUGCAUUCACUUUUGAAAUUUGUUCUUGAUGGGACUUAAUGGUCAGACUGUACUUAGAACCCCUGCUGUAUAUUUAAUGGCUGAAUAGAAAACUGCAACUACGUAUCUUUACUAAGAUGAGCUCAAGAUAAUUACCUCCACAUUAUUAAUAAUUCUGCCAAUUGGAUUUCCACAAAGUAGAUUCAAUAAAACACUAAAAAUAUUUAUUCAAUAAAUCAAUUACACUUCUGAUUGAGUCUGGCUAACCAUAAGUUAUUUUCUCAUUGAUAAAAUUAUGUUUAUGAAAACCCAUUUUCAUGGAAAUAGUUCUUAAGGUUUUUAUUGGAAAAUACUUUGCUGUUAGGCUGAAGAUAAGAGAAUUAAUGAAAAGUCCACAUGAGCCUUAUUUGUUUAAAUAAACACCAAAAACCCUCUGAUUGUUGCUUAUGCAGAAUCCAAUGUCCGUGUUUAAUAAUGCCAAAAAAUGUAAAGAAAAAUCAAAUACCUUCUUAUCCCACUAGAUGGUGGUGCCUUCAGAGUAGGGUUGAUAUCCUUUAAAAGACUGCAGGAAAAUUGCUUUCUUUAGCUGACCUGUGAGCAUAGAGAAUGAGAGAUGAGGUUAAUCUUGUUCUUCUGGGGACAUUAAUGAGCAUUCAGGUGUAAUGGCUUACUAAAAAUACUCAAGUACAUAUGAUUGUGUUCAUAGUUUGUUACAAAGUGUGUUUUAACUUCAGUAUACAUCUAAUGGCAUUAAUUUUUCUUCCUGAAGAAAAUACUAACAGUACUGAAUUUUAAUGAUAAUUGUAUCUCAUGUAAUACAGCUUUAUUACUAAAGGUCCCAGCUUUGCCAUUUUACUGUCUUCUAUCCUCAAUAAGAAUCAAAACCCAGAUUGAAGGAGCAAGUCAUUAACAACAACUGUAUCUUUUAUUUAUUUCAGUUGAAUGAUUUUAAAGUACUACUCUCAUUUUUCCACAGCAAACAUACUGCUUGCUUUCAUGGAGAGCAGCAUUUACACGUAGACAAGAAGUAAAUACCUAAGCAAGAAGGACACAUCUCUUCAGUUACAUUUUAGUGAAUAGAAAGAGUAAAUAGGACGUUGCUUGAGCAAGUAUCUUUGUGCUUUAAUUUUCUCAAGUUCCUACAGUAAAUGGUCAAAUCCUUCAUGUGUCAAGUAUAGCCUGAACUGCUGAGUUCAGUGCAGACUCUGUAAUCUGGAGCAGUUGCCUCGAAAACUGCAUCUAUUGAGGACUGUCUCCAGAGCAGACAAUCUGAGCAAGCCUACAGGCUCACACACUGCUGGAAUACAGUGUUAGAGCAUUCCGAGUACUGAAUGUAUCAACACUGUGAGCUAGCCUGACGUCAGUCAUGCCCAGAAAGCAGACCAUAGCAAGACUACAGCUUACUGUAUACACAGCAACUCUUGGACAGACUGCUGUAUGCACACAGUUGCUCUAGACUCCCAGCUGUGUAAAAGGUCCUACUAGGUAAGAUCAAAAGGUGGUCAGUGAUUUCUGAUUACAUGUUCCAGCUGAAAGCAGUAGGUGAGACUUGCACUGAAAAAAAUAAAUUUGAAUUGUUUUAAUUACCCUUAAAUAUUAUUAUGUAAAUUAAUAGUAUGAAAAAUUAGAAGUGGUUUUAUGGAUGAAGAACAAAGGGCAAGACAAGCCUUAACAUUAGGUUUUCUAACUGUUCUCUUCAAAGAUGAUGCAGUGGUACAGAAACUUGAGAAUGUCCAUAAGGUGUUCUGGAAAAGACAGAGUUAAUUAAGAAUCCCAGACUUAUGUUGUAGUCUAUAGUUGUUUCUCAGUGUAUUUUACUUCACAUCACCCUGCUUCCAGAUGAUUAAGCAACUGAGGAUAGUUUUUCUGAUUCACACCUGACACAGUGUGAUUCAUAUCUAUCUUCCACAUGUACCUUUCCAUUUACUCUUACUUCUCAUAUUCCAGUCUUUCAUUUUUCAAUUCUUGUAUUUGCAACAUCCAUCCAGUCUUCUCUUUCCUUUGCAGGUAGUAUACAUCAGUGUGAGUAGCAAAGUGCCAAGAUAGGCCAAAUUAGUAUAAUUUCCAAGCAAAGAUGCAGACCCAAAAAGCAAAAUAAGAACGCCACUGCCAAACACAGAAGACUGAGGCAGAAAAACAGAUAAAGAAAUGAAUACAAAUGUGUGAUUAUUCUGUAAAGUGUUAAUUACUGGACGUUAGAAUCUUCUCUGUCUGUAUUAGGGAGAGAAAACCCACUCUUACUUCCUAUAACAAGAUGGGGAGGAUUUUUUAAGAGCCUGAAUAAAGAAAAUUCACCCCACUCAUUGUUACUGUCUACCAUCAGAAGGCUGAAAUGCAGCAUUUGCCAGAAGUGCCAGUUCCUUUAUUCAGUCUCUUUCAGUCUACCAGUAUAACUGCCAAUCACAGGAAAUACCUCUAAUAACUCUUCCUUUUACUUAAUAAGGAAUAUCACAUCUUUUAAACAUUAGAAACAGAUGUCACUGCAUUACUUCACUGCUGAUGUAUGUAAUAGAAAUGACACACUAAUUAAUUUAAUGCAGUAUAAAUGUACUGAUUAUUUAUCAUGGCUGACAAUAAAAUUAUGAAAACAUUCAAUUACAAUCAGUGGUAAUUCAUUAUUUAUUGAUUUUGCAUUAUGCACACAUUAAUACAAUACAUUUGAUUAAAGAAGGGAAAGGAUCAUUCUUCUAUUGAU